rnacentral:rRNA from 1 species
GAUGAACGCUAGCGGCAGGCCUAAUACAUGCAAGUCGAACGGCAAGAAGUGUAGCAAUACAUUUCCUAGAGUGACGUACGGGUGCGUAACACGUAUGCAACCUACCCUUUACAGGCGGAUAGCUCGGGGAAACCCGAAUUAACCCGCCGUGGUGUAGUGAGAAGGCAUCUUCUUAUUAUUAAAACUCCGGUGGUAAAGGAUGGGCAUGCGUCUGAUUAGUUAGUUGGCGGUGUAACGGACCACCAAGACGAUGAUCAGUAGGGGAACUGAGAGGUUGAUCCCCCACACUGGCACUGAGAUACGGGCCAGACUCCUACGGGAGGCAGCAGUAGGGAAUAUUGGUCAAUGGAUGCAAGUCUGAACCAGCCAUGCCGCGUGCAGGAAGAAGGCCUUCUGGGUUGUAAACUGCUUUUGCCAGGGGAUAAAAUGGCCAUGCGUGGCUAAUUGAAGGUACCUGGUGAAUAAGCCACGGCUAACUACGUGC